AGUGGCGGACGGGUGAGUAACGCGUGAGAAUCUGCCUUGGGGUCGGGGACAACCACUGGAAACGGUGGCUAAUACCGGAUAAGCCGAUUGGUGAAAGAUUUAUUGCCCGAAGAGGAGCUCGCGUCCGAUUAGCUAGUUGGUGAGGUAAGAGCUCACCAAGGCAGCGAUCAGUAGCUGGUCUGAGAGGACGAUCAGCCACACUGGGACUGAGACACGGCCCAGACUCCUACGGGAGGCAGCAGUGGGGAAUUUUCCGCAAUGGGCGAAAGCCUGACGGAGCAAGACCGCGUGAGGGAGGAAGGCUCUUGGGUUGUAAACCUCUUUUCUCAGGGAAGAAGCUCUGACGGUACCUGAGGAAUCAGCCUCGGCUAACUCCGUGCCAGCAGCCGCGGUAAUACGGAGGAGGCAAGCGUUAUCCGGAAUUAUUGGGCGUAAAGCGUCCGCAGGUGGCGAUUCAAGUCUGCUGUCAAAGCACGGGGCUUAACUCCGUAAAGGCAGUGGAAACUGAAUAGCUAGAGUGCCGUAGGGGUAGAGGGAAUUCCCGGUGUAGCGGUGAAAUGCGUAGAGAUCGGGAAGAACAUCGGUGGCGAAAGCGCUCUACUGGACGGCAACUGAUACUCAGGGACGAAAGCUAGGGGAGCGAAUGGGAUUAGAUACCCC
rnacentral:rRNA from 1 species